UCAGGCCUAACACAUGCAAGUCGAACGGUAACAGGUCUUCGGAUGCUGACGAGUGGCGAACGGGUGAGUAAUGCAUCGGAACGUGCCCAGUUGUGGGGGAUAACUGCUCGAAAGAGCAGCUAAUACCGCAUACGACCUGAGGGUGAAAGCGGGGGAUCGCAAGACCUCGCGCAAUUGGAGCGGCCGAUGUCAGAUUAGGUAGUUGGUGGGGUAAAGGCCUACCAAGCCGACGAUCUGUAGUUGGUCUGAGAGGACGACCAGCCACACUGGGAGUGAGACACGGCCCAGACUCCUACGGGAGGCAGCAGUGGGGAAUUU
rnacentral:rRNA from 1 species